rnacentral:rRNA from 1 species
UACGAACUGUGCGAACGUUAUUCGGAAUCACUGGGCUUACAGGGUGCGUAGGCGGCUUGUUAAGUAGGGUGUGAAAGCCCCCGGCUCAACCGGGGAAUUGCGCCCUAAACUGGCGAGCUGGAGUGAGAUAGGGGUGUGUGGAACUUCCGGUGGAGCGGUGAAAUGUGUUGAUAUUGGGAGGAACACCAGUGGCGAAGGCGGCUCACUGGACCGGUACUGACGCUGAUGCGCGAAAGCGUGGGGAGCAAACAGG